GCAUUUUAAAGCUCCAGCGUCUUUCUGUCUAGUCCAAGGUGAAGGCCGGGAUGCGAAUCAAUUUGUUCCCAGCCCUCCAGCGCAGACAGCAAGCUUCUAGCCUGGGGUGUCGGGGAAGGCACAAAGUAACAAGGACCGCCUUUGGGCAGAACCCUCUGAGGACCACAGCUGACAACACUAUUGGAGCAAAUUGGCUUCCAAGGGCUCCUCUCCUUUAAAUCCUCUUCCUCCCCAAAGAGGAAGAUUGGUCUCCUCCCUGCCUCUCUGGAAACGGACUGAGCACUGCAGGCCGGGCAUUCCGUGAACAAAGAGUCAACAGCAGAGACUCGUCAUCGAAUCGACAGGCAUAUCCAGGAAGAGCCUGUGAGAUGGGAAGACAAGAGGUUGGAGCCUGGGGGACACUGGGCCCAAAGAAAAUGGAGAGAUGGAUCCAAAAUUGAGGCUUUGUUGACUGGCUGUGCCAUUACGUCAAAGGAG